rnacentral:rRNA from 1 species
CGAUGGCUGUCGUCAGCUCGUGUUGUGAAAUGUUGGGUUAAGUCCCGCAACGAGCGCAACCCUUAUCCUUUGUUGCCAGCGGUCCGGCCGGGAACUCAAAGGAGACUGCCAGUGAUAAACUGGAGGAAGGUGGGGAUGACGUCAAGUCAUCAUGGCCCUUACGACCAGGGCUACACACGUGCUACAAUGGCGCAUACAAAGAGAAGCGACCUCGCGAGAGCAAGCGGACCUCAUAAAGUGCGUCGUAGUCCGGAUUGGAGUCUGCAACUCGACUCCAUGAAGUCGGAAUCGCUAGUAAUCGUGGAUCAGAAUGCCACGGUGAAUACGUUCCCGGGCCUU